GGAUGAACGCUAGCUACAGGCUUAACACAUGCAAGUCGAGGGGCAGCAUGGGAGUUGCUUGCAACUUCUGAUGGCGACCGGCGCACGGGUGAGUAACGCGUAUCCAACCUGGCCCUUAGUAGGGAACAGCCCGGCGAAAGUCGGAUUAAUGCCCUAUGUUUUCCAAUGAUGGCAUCUGACUUGGAACAAAGAUUCAUCGCUAAGGGAUGGGGAUGCGUCUGAUUAGCUUGUCGGCGGGGUAACGGCCCACCGAGGCGACGAUCAGUAGGGGUUCUGAGAGGAAGGUCCCCCACAUUGGUACUGAGACACGGACCAAACUCCUACGGGAGGCAGCAGUGAGGAAUUAUUGGGUCAAUGGGGCGCCGAGCCUGAACCCAGCCAAGUAGCCGUGCAGGAAGACUGCCCUUAUGGGGUUGGUAAACUUGCUUUU
rnacentral:rRNA from 1 species